CUAUGGGUCUGUCCAUGUCCCCUAUGGGAUUUCUGUGGGGCAAGGGGGAUCUAUGGGGUGCCGGGUCCCUGUGGGUCCCUAUGGGUCUCUAUGGGUCUCUCUAUGUCCCCCAUGGGUCUGUGUGGGGCAUUUGGGAUCUAUGGGGUGAUGGGUCACUAUGGGUCCCUAUGGGUCCCCUGUAUCCCCCCAUGGGUCUGUGUGGGGCAGUGAGGAUCUAUGGGGUCUCUGUGGGGUCUCUGUGCUGUCUCAAUGGGUCUCUAUGUCCCCCAUGGGUCUGUGUGGGGCAGUGGGGAUCUAUGGGGUGAUGGGUCUCUAUGGGUCCCCAUGGGUCUCUAUGGGUCUGUGUGGGGCAGCGAGGAUCUAUGGGGUGACAGGUCUUUAUGGUGGUCCCUAUGGGAUCUCUAUGGGGCAGUGAGGAUCUAUGGGGUGAUGGGUCUUUAUGGGUCUCUACGGGUCUCUCUACGUCCCCCAUGGGUCUGUGUGGGGCAUUUGGGAUCUAUGGGGUGCCGGGUCCCUGUGGGUCUCUAUGGGUCCCCUGUAUCCCCCCAUGGGUCUGUGUGGGGUAGUGGGGCAGUCUAUGGGGUGAUGGGUCUCUAUGGGUCUCCAUGGGUCUCUAUGGGUCUGUGUGGGGCAGUGGGGAUCUAUGGGGUGAUGGGUCUCCAUGGGUCCCUAUGGGUCCCUAUGGGUCUCUCCAUGUCCCCUAUGGGAUCUCUGUGGGGCAGGGGGGAUCUAUGGGGUGAUGGGUCUCUAUGGGUCUCUAUGGGUCUCUAUGGGUCUCUCUAUGGGUCUCUAUGGGUCUCUAUGGGUCUCUCUAUGGGUCUCUAUGGGUCUCUAUGGGUCUCUAUGGGUCUCUCUAUGGGUCUCUAUGGGUCCCUAUGGGUCCCUAUGGGUCUCUAUGGGUCCCUAUGGGUCCCUAUGGGUCUCUAUGGGUCCCUAUGGGUCCCUAUGGGUCUCUAUGGGUCCCUAUGGGUCUCUCUAUGGGUCCCUAUGGGUCUCUAUGGGUCUCUAUGGGUCUCUAUGGGUCCCUA
rnacentral:lncRNA from 1 species